AUUGAACGCUGGCGGCAUGCCUUACACAUGCAAGUCGAACGGUAACGGGCCUUCGGGUACCGACGAGUGGCGAACGGGUGAGUAAUGUAUCGGAACGUACCUUUCAGUGGGGGAUAACGUAGCGAAAGUUACGCUAAUACCGCAUAUUCUGUGAGCAGGAAAGCAGGGGAUCGCAAGACCUUGCGCUGAUUGAGCGGCCGAUAUCAGAUUAGCUAGUUGGUGAGGUAAAGGCUCACCAAGGCGACGAUCUGUAGCGGGUCUGAGAGGAUGAUCCGCCACACUGGAACUGAGACACGGUCCAGACUCCUACGGGAGGCAGCAGUGGGGAAUUUUGGAGAAUGGGGGCAACCCUGAUCCAGCCAUGCCGCGUGAGUGAAGAAGGCCUUCGGGUUGUAAAGCUCUUUCGGCCGGGAAGAACUCGUAUCAGCUAAUACCUGGUGCGGAUGACGGUACCGGCAUAAGAAGCACCGGCUAACUACGUGCCAGCCGCCGCAGUAAAAC
rnacentral:rRNA from 1 species